ensembl:lncRNA
CGGCACGCUGCGGGGGGCGCUGUGCCGGUUGCUGGGAGGGUGGCAGGCGGCUCCGGUGGACCUGCCGCAGACACGCCUGCGGCAGCUCCACCGGGACCAGCUGACCAUCUGCAGAAACGCCUGCGGAAGGUCCACCGGAGCCGCGGGACAGGCGAGCGGCAGAGCGCCCCCGCGGCGUGCCACCGUGCUUGGGGCGGCCCUGUUUGGGAGGGUCCGUCUGUGCUCCCCUCAGGUGGAGAUGCAGAGGCAGUUUGGGGGUGUUGGUCCGUGCUCCCCUCGGGCGAGUAGUUGAGAAGCAGUUGGGGGGGUGUCUGUGCUCCCCUCAGGGGGGGUGCAGAGGCAGUUGGGGGGGUCGGUCCACGCUCCCCUCAGGGGGGGUGCAGAGGCAGUUUGGAGGGGUGGGUCUGCGCUCCCCUCAGGCGGGGGUGCAGAGGCAGUUUGGGGGGUCGGUCCGCGCUCCCCUCAGGCGGGGGUGCAGAGGCAGUUGGGGGGGGUCGGUCUGCGCUCCCCUCAGGCGGGGGUGCAGAGGCAGUUUGGGGGGGGGCGGUCCGUGCUCCCCUCAGGGGGGGUGCAGAGGCAGUUUGGGGGGGUCGGUCCGCGCUCCCCUCAGGGGGGGUGCAGAGGCAGUUUGGGGGGGUCGGUCCGCGCUCCCCUCAGGGGGGGUGCAGAGGCAGUUUGGGGGGGUCGGUCCGCGCUCCCCUCAGGGGGGGUGCAGAGGCAGUUGGGGGGGUCGGUCCGCGCUCCCCUCAGGGGGGGUGCAGAGGCAGUUGGGGGGGUCGGUCCGCGCUCCCCUCAGGGGGGGUGCAGAGGCAGUUGGGGGGGUCGGUCCGCGCUCCCCUCAGGGGGGGUGCAGAGGCAGUUUGGGGGGGUCGGUCCGCGCUCCCCUCAGGGGGGGUGCAGAGGCAGUUUGGGGGGGUCGGUCCGCGCUCCCCUCAGGGGGGGUGCAGAGGCAGUUGGGGGGGGUCGGUCCGCGCUCCCCUCAGGGGGGGUGCAGAGGCAGUUGGGGGGGUCGGUCCGCGCUCCCCUCAGGGGGGGUGCAGAGGCAGUUUGGGGGGGGUCGGUCCGUGCUCCCCUCAGGGGGGGUGCAGAGGCAGUGUGGGGGGGUCGGUCCGUGCUCCCCUCAGGGGGGGUGCAGAGGCAGUUUGGGGGGGUCGGUCCGCGCUCCCCUCAGGGGGGGUGCAGAGGCAGUUUGGGGGGGGUCGGUCCGCGCUCCCCUCAGGGGGGGUGCAGAGGCAGUUGGGGGGGGUCGGUCCGUGCUCCCCUCAGGGGGGGUGCAGAGGCAGUUUGGGGGGGUCGGUCCGCGCUCCCCUCAGGGGGGGUGCAGAGGCAGUGUUGGGGGGGUCGGUCCGCGCUCCCCUCAGGGGGGUGCAGAGGCAGUUGGGGGGGUCGGUCCGCGCUCCCCUCAGGGGGGGUGCAGAGGCAGUUGGGGGGUCGGUCCGCGCUCCCCUCAGGGGGGGUGCAGAGGCAGUUUGGGGGGGUCGGUCCGCGCUCCCCUCAGGGGGGGUGCAGAGGCAGUUUGGGGGGUCGGUCCGUGCUCCCCUCAGGGGGGGUGCAGAGGCAGUUUGGGGGGG